UGGAUCCAGACUUUGAUCAUGGCUCAGGACGAACGCUGGCGGCGUGCUUUAUACAUGCAAGUCGAACGAGAAUCUGACUUCGGUCAGAGGAAAGUGGCGGACGGGUGAGUAAAAUGUAGAGAAUCUGCCCUUGAGUGGGGGACAACAGUUGGAAACGAUUGCUAAUACCCCAUACGAGAUAGGCUGCAAUGUUUAUCUUGAAAACUCCGGUGCUCAAGGAUGAGUCUGCAUCUGAUUAGCUAGUUGGUGGUGUAAUGGACUACCAAGGCGAUGAUCAGUAGCUGGUUUGAGAGGAUGAUCAGCCACAAUGGGACUGAGACACGGCCCAUACUCCUACGGGAGGCAGCAGUAGGGAAUUUUGCGCAAUGGGGGAAACCCUGACGCAGCAACGCCGCGUGAUUGAUGAAGCCCUUCGGGGUGUAAAGAUCUGUCAGUAGGGACGAAUAAUGACUGUACCUACAGAGGAAGCACCGGCUAACUCCGUGCCAGCAGCCGCGGUAAUACGGGGGGUGCGAGCGUUGUCCGGAAUCAUUGGGCGUAAAGAGUUCGUAGGUGGUAUGUUAAGUCUGGUGUUAAAUUCCGAAGCUCAACUUCGGUACGGCACUGGAUACUGGCAAACUUGAAUGCGGUAGAGGUAAAGGGAAUUCCUGGUGUAGCGGUGAAAUGCGUAGAUAUCAGGAGGAACAUCGGUGGCGUAAGCGCUUUACUGGGCCGUAAUUGACACUGAGGAACGAAAGCCGGGGUAGCAAAUGGGAUUAGAUACCCCAGUAGUCCCGGCCGUAAACGAUGGAUACUAGGUGUUGCGGGUAUCGACCCCUGCAGUGCCGUAGCAAACGCGAUAAGUAUCCCGCCUGGGGAGUACGCACGCAAGUGUGCAACUCAAAGGAAUUGACGGA
rnacentral:rRNA from 1 species